rnacentral:snRNA from 1 species
AGGGUGAGGCUCAUCCAUUGCACUGUGGGUGUGUUGACCACUGCGAUUUCCCCAAAUGGGGGAAACUCG